ensembl:lncRNA
GCCAGCCAGCAUAUCCAGCCGCAUGAAGGGAGCCGGUGGAGUUGGAGGUGGGAAUGGUGACGAGGAGAAGGAGCAGUCCAGCAGGCCCUAUCCUCCUGGACUGCAGCCCGGCGGAGUGGAUCACAACAUCUUAGCACAGCAACAGCAAGCCAUCAUCAAUCAGCAAGCAAUUAUACUGGUGAGUAUUGUAAAAGCCCUGGUUCACAGUCUGAAAGUUGUUCAUGUUUGAUUCUGUUCAGAAUGCACCCUGUUACAUAUCUAAUUACUGGUCUGUUGUGCUGCAUAAUAGGCUCAACAAAUGACCAUGCAGGCGAUGGCCCUUCAGCAGCAGAUGUAUAAUUCAGUGGGAGGGCCGUACUCUGGUCCCCCUCAUCACAGCGAGCAUAUACCAAUGUCUCACUCUGGCCAAUCCAGCCCCACGAAGUUUGAAACUGGACCAAUACCGUACACUCAAGCUCCUGUUGCCCCUGCAAACAGGCCUUCUCGACGUCAUCACAGCCCAUCCAGGACAGUACCAACAGAAAAUGUAGUCAAGUCCACCAUCUCAAACUCAGAGCAUCUAGAACCAAGCCACAACAUCAAAGACAUAAUCAAACAGUAUCAGCCCGGUCCUGUCAAGCCAGUAGAGAUCCCAAGAAAAGAAACAAAAGUGUUUGUUAAGAAGCCAGAUCCACACCAUGAAGC